rnacentral:rRNA from 1 species
GACGAACCGUGCGAACGUUAUUCGGAAUCACUGGGCUUAAAGGGCGCGUAGGCGGGCUGUUAAGUCCGGGGUGAAAUCCUCCCGCUCAACGGGAGAACUGCCUCGGAUACUGAUGGUCUCGAGGACGGUAGGGGUAAGCGGAACUGUGAGUGGAGCGGUGAAAUGCGUUGAUAUUCACGGGAACUCCGGUGGCGAAGGCGGCUUACUGGACCGUAUCUGACGCUGAGGCGCGAAAGCUAGGGGAGCGAAGAGG